rnacentral:rRNA from 1 species
AUAGAACGCUAGCGGGAUGCAUUACACAUGCAAGUCGAAAGGAGUGGCGAACGGGUGAGUAAUGUAUCGGAACGUGCCCAGUAGGGAGGGAUAACUACGCGAAAGCGUAGCUAAUACCGCAUACUAUUGGAGCGGCCGAUAUCGGAUUAGCUAGUUGGUGGGGUAACGGCUCACCAAGGCGACGAUCCGUAGCUGGGUUGAGAGGACGACCAGCCACACUGGGAAUGAGACAAGUCCCAGACUCUUACGGGAGGCAGCAGUGGGGAAUUUUGGACAAUGGGGGAAACCCUGAUCCAGCCAUCCCGCGUGUGCGAUGAAGGCCUUCGGUUUGUAAAGCACUUUUGGCAGGAAAGCGGUACCUGCAGAAUAAGCACCGGCUAACUACGUGCCAGCAGCCGCGGUAAUAC